UCACAAAUAUUCUCAUUGUUCUGCUUGUGUCAUAAUCAGGGAAGACUAAACAUUUGCUAUAGUAAGAUCAUGCAUGUGUCCCCAGACCUAGAUCUUUCCCUAGGUCUGGUUUUAUAAAUGCUGGUGAUAAAC
rnacentral:snoRNA from 1 species